ACAGUUAGCGUUAGGCUUCGCGCGACUCGCAUGACGUCAUCAUUCUGUUACGUGUUGUAACUUGUCUAGACUAGUAGCGCUGUAUGGCGGCUUGUCGUCGUAGAGUAGACUCAUAGUCGCAAAGAUGUCCCGUCAUUUUAAAUCAGGUAAUGAAAAAAGAAAGAGGCGUCUUCAUGACAAUGAGCAAAGACAACAGCAGUCAGCUCCACCCUUCCUGCAUGGAGUUUGCACGUUCUCCCCAAGACUGCGUGUGUUUCCUCCGGGUACUCCGGCUUCCUCCCACAUCCCCAAAACAAGCAUGGUAUGCGGAAACUCAGGCGAGAAAGUUUUUCACCAGCCAUCAUGACCACAAUCUACAGUGGCACCAUUGAGAGUGUCCUCUCCAGUUGUAUGGCUGUGUGGGGUGGAAGCUGCACUGAAUACAACAUGGCCCUGCAGCGCAUAGUGAACACAGCUGGAAGGAUUAUUGGUUACUCACUCCUCUCCCUGAAGGGCAUUUACACCUCCCAUCUCACCCGCAAGGCGACCACGAUUGUGAGGGAUGUGAGUCACCCCGCUCACACUUUGUUUGAUCUACUGCCCUCUGGGAACAGGGACAGGAGCCUGCGCUCCCGCACCACCAGACUCACCAACAGCUUCAUACUCCAGGCUCUUCCUGAACUCUCUCCCCCCUCCACCCUCGGCUGCAUAACGUCCUGGCCUAUUGGGCCAUGUUGGCUGCCUUGCAUUACUCCUCCUGUACUUUUGCGCUAUAUACUGACCGUCUGCUGUAUGCACAAUUGCUCCGUUUCAACCAUGUUGCUCUUAUUUAUUUAUUAUUAAUUCAUUGCUCUUAUUUGUUCAUUGUUUGUGCCUUCUUGGUUUUAUUUUUUGUAUUGUUUACUUGAAUGUUUUGUCCACCCAGCCAGCCAGCCAGCCAAUAAAAUUAUAAAUCUUUAACUUACUCUUAUUGCCACUUAAAGGGGUAUAACAAAUGGAUGGGUUAGAUUUAAGAACGAUUCAAUUGUCUUCUGAGCAACCAAUUAACAAGAUAUCUUCCUGGUACAUCACGUCCCGCUGUGAUUCCACAGCUGAGUGUUCAACCUGCAAUACACCCAUGGCCCUUAGCGGGCAACAAGAAACACAAUGAUCCAAUACAAUAGUUUAUAAAUACGUAUACUAGAGAUGCACCGAUCCGACUUUUUCAGUUCCGAUACCGAUACCGAUGCCGUGGCUUUGCGUAUCGGUCGAUACCCGAUACCGAUCCGAUAUUAUGGUUGACUUAACAAGCUACAUAACUCUACAUGUGGAACAGAAAAGACCAAAGGCAAUGGCAUCAGGCAGACUACACAGUUCUUUGCUCUAAAUUAGGGGUGUCCAAACUAACGGUCCAGUUUUUAUUGGCCCGCAGCAAAUUCUGAAAACAUAAUUGAAUAUGGCCCGCACAAGAAGCUUGAGCUCAGCUUCUCAGUUUCCACACUAGAUGGAGCCCGCCACACAAAGCGUUUGACGUCCCAUUAACACCCCCCCGGAAGAGAAGCGAACACGCAGCGUUUGACAUCCGAUUAGCCUCCGCCCCCCCCCCCCCCCCCUUCGGGAGAGAAGCGAACGCGCAGCCUUUCACGUCCCAUUAGCAACCCGAAGAGAAGCGAACGCGCAGGGUUUGACGUCCGCUUAGCAACCCGGGGAAGAGAAGCGAACGUUCGCUCCAUGUUUGCGUUUGUUUAGAAAACUCUCGUGGCAUGCGGCACACGUGCUGCUGACGUAUGACGUAGCCCGCGUCCCAAUAGAUUAAGGAAAGUACCGGCUCACAGAUCGGCUGUAUUUUCCGAUACCCGAUCCAUCUAUUUUGUUGAUAUCGGGGCCGAUAUCCGAUCCAGAUAUCGGAUCGGUGCAUCUCUAACGUAUACCGUUUCUAUUUAACAGAUUUUCGGUUAUCGCUGGUGGUUCUGGUGAUUCUGGAAUGCAUCUCCCGCGAUAAAGGAGGGAUCACUGUAGUUUCCUUAUCUGGCAACUUCCUGGCACAUGCACAUGUACUGUUAGGAAAAUGUAUAUAUAUGUUAUCAUGCGUUCUCUAGUCGAUGCUUUACCGCAAUAUUACCGCAAUAUUACUGCAAUAUAUGCUUGCUGUUUGGCCUUGCUGUACCACAGAAGAAAGAGAGAUUACAGCUGGGUCAGACAGGUUGCAGCUGACAACUCAGCAAAAUGACGACAUCUACCAAGACAGUUCGUUUUCAACAAAGAAUGAUUGCUGAUCACUCAUGUUUUCUGAUUUCAUCACAGACACAAAGAAUGAUCGCUGAUCACUCAUGUUUCCUGAUUUCAUCACAGACUCAAAGAAUGAUCGCUGAUCACUCAUGUUUCCUGAAUUCAUCACAGACACAAAGAAUGGUUGCUGAUCACUCGUACUCUUUCUCACACUGUUCCAUAUCAGUAUGUAACACCUUGUGAUUUUUCUUCUUACGAGACAAAGCCCACGUGCUUCCCUCCUCCCCUUUUAGAGGGCUUGUCUCAUUUUGUGGGUAGGGCAAAUCCAAAUAAAAAGAGCAGGAGUGCAUACAGAUAAUUAGUGUAGUGAGAUUGUUGUGAAGUGAUCUGUACUGCACUCCUC